AGUGAACGCUGGCGGUAGGCCUAACACAUGCAAGUCGAACGGCAGCACAGUAAGAGCUUGCUCUUACGGGUGGCGAGUGGCGGACGGGUGAGGAAUACAUCGGAAUCUACUUUUUCGUGGGGGGUAACGUAGGGAAACUUACGCUAAUACCGCAUACGACCUACGGGUGAAAGCAGGGGAUCUUCGGACCUUGCGCGAUUGAAUGAGCCGAUGUCGGGUUAGCUAGUUGGCGGGGUAAAGGCCCACCAAGGCGACGAUCCGUAGCUGGUCUGAGAGGAUGAUCAGCCACACUGGAACUGAGACACGGUCCAGACUCCUACGGGAGGCAGCAGUGGGGAAUAUUGGACAAUGGGCGCAAGCCUGAUCCAGCCAUACCGCGUGGGUGAAGAAGGCCUUCGGGUUGUAAAGCCCUUUUGUUGGGAAAGAAAAGCAGCAGGUUAAUACCCCGCUGUUCUGACGGUACCCAAAGAAUAAGCACCGGCUAACUUCGUG
rnacentral:rRNA from 1 species